rnacentral:rRNA from 1 species
GCGGCCUAUCAGCUUGUUGGUGAGGUAAAGGCUCACCAAGGCGACGACGGGUAGCCGGCCUGAGAGGGCGACCGGCCACACUGGGACUGAGACACGGCCCAGACUCCUACGGGAGGCAGCAGUGGGGAAUAUUGGGCAAUGGAGGAAACUCUGACCCAGCGACGCCGCGUGAGGGAUGAAGGCCUUCGGGUUGUAAACCUCUUUCAGUAGGGAAGAAGCGAAAGUGACGGUACCUAAAGAAGAAGCACCGGCUAACUAUGUGCCAGCAGCCGCGGUAAUACAUAGGGCGCAAGCGUUGUCCGGAAUUAUUGGGCGUAAAGAGCUCGUAGGUCGUUUGUCGCGUCGAUUGUGAAAAUCUGAGGCUCAACCUCAGACCUGCAGUCGAUACGGGCAAACUAAAGUGUGGUAGGGGAGACUGGAAUUCCU